UUGCACCGGUGAUUAGUGGCGAACGGGUGAGUAACACGUGAGUAACCUGCCCUUAACUCUGGGAUAAGCCUGGGAAACUGGGUCUAAUACCGGAUAUGACUCCUCAUCGCAUGGUGGGGGGUGGAAAGCUUUUUUGUGGUUUUGGAUGGACUCGCGGCCUAUCAGCUUGUUGGUGAGGUAAUGGCUCACCAAGGCGACGACGGGUAGCCGGCCUGAGAGGGUGACCGGCCACACUGGGACUGAGACACGGCCCAGACUCCUACGGGAGGCAGCAGUGGGGAAUAUUGCACAAUGGGCGCAAGCCUGAUGCAGCGACGCCGCGUGAGGGAUGACGGCCUUCGGGUUGUAAACCUCUUUCAGUAGGGAAGAAGCGAAAGUGACGGUACCUGCAGAAGAAGCGCCGGCUAACUACGUGCCAGCAGCCGCGGUAAUACGUAGGGCGCAAGCGUUAUCCGGAAUUAUUGGGCGUAAAGAGCUCGUAGGCGGUUUGUCGCGUCUGCCGUGAAAGUCCGGGGCUCAACUCCGGAUCUGCGGUGGGUACGGGCAGACUAGAGUGAUGUAGGGGAGACUGGAAUUCCUGGUGUAGCGGUGAAAUGCGCAGAUAUCAGGAGGAACACCGAUGGCGAAGGCAGGUCUCUGGGCAUUAACUGACGCUGAGGAGCGAAAGCAUGGGGAGCGAACAGGAUUAGAUACCCUGGUAGUCCAUGCCGUAAACGUUGGGCACUAGGUGUGGGGGACAUUCCACGUUUUCCGCGCCGUAGCUAACGCAUUAAGUGCCCCGCCUGGGGAGUACGGCCGCA
rnacentral:rRNA from 1 species